GCCCGGCCCGGGGCGGAAAACCGGCCCAAUUCCAGGGAACUCGCUCAAGUCCCCCCAGGGACACCAGCGGGGCUGGGGGAGGAGGGUUAUAAACAGCAAAGUCUGUGGAAUAUCAACCUGUCCUUGUCCCGAUCCCGCUGAGCAGACCUGGAACCGUGGCUGCUUCCUGGCAAACCUGGCGUUAGAGCGGCAGCUCUGCGGGGGAACAGCCGGGCUCCAGGAGGCACUGGGAGGCUAUUGCAGCAGGAAUUCGGCAUGGAAUUGCGGGCUGUAGGGACACUGACCCUUAUUUGGUCCUGCUCUUCCACGGUCCAUUUUGGGGGAUGAGUUUGUGCUGGUUUACGUUCCACGACUCCACCCACAGCUGGAGAUUUGGGGUUGUGCUUCUCUACUCCCAGCAGGUUCCCUAAGGAGCCAGAUACUCCAACAAUCCCCUCGUUUGACUUUCUAGGUGAAUUGUGCACAAGCCAGUCCCCCAUUCCCUAUCCAGGCUGGGAGUGCUCUUGCCCUUGGUACAGAUGGCUCUGGCUGGGCAGGAACUGAGAGCAGGACACGGGGCAGAGUGGAUCAGCUGCCCAGGGAACCUCUAGGAGAUGAAGCUACGGGAUCCUCAUUCCAAUCAAGGGAACACAUUCUGUCUCUGGCAGGAGCCGGGAGCCAAAGCAGAUCCCGCCUGGCCAGGCUGGGGGGCAGCAGUUGGAUCCACUCUGGGGGAAAGCCCCUGUGCCUGCCAGGAGCUCUGACUCUGUUUGUCCUGCCAGCUCCUGACCAGUGUCAGGGCCCCUGGGAGGGAUUCAGAAUCCAAAGAACCCCCAAAUCCUACCGCAGGAUUCAAUCAAAGGAAGAAAGCCAUUAUUGUCAUAAAAAGCUUAAAAAGCUGUUAAAAAUUCUAGGACAGCAAUACUGGGAUUCCCAGGAAACUUA